CCCUGCAUUUGAAAGUGAUUGUGGGCUGCCAGUGUCCUGACCAUUGAUAAGGCAGGAGAGCAAUUGCUGAAAGCAUUCUCCCAUGUUUGGGGGGUCCACUUCUGUGUCUUCCAAACCCUGGAGCUUUCUCACA